rnacentral:rRNA from 1 species
GAUGAACGCUGGCGGCGUGCCUAAUACAUGCAAGUCGAGCGAACAGACGAGGAGCUUGCUCCUCUGACGUUAGCGGCGGACGGGUGAGUAACACGUGGAUAACCUACCUAUAAGACUGGGAUAACUUCGGGAAACCGGAGCUAAUACCGGAUAAUAUAUUGAACCGCAUGGUUCAAUAGUGAAAGACGGUUUUGCUGUCACUUAUAGAUGGAUCCGCGCCGCAUUAGCUAGUUGGUAAGGUAACGGCUUACCAAGGCAACGAUGCGUAGCCGACCUGAGAGGGUGAUCGGCCACAAUGGAACUGAGACACGGUCCAGACUCCUACGGGAGGCAGCAGUAGGGAAUCUUCCGCAAUGGGCGAAAGCCUGACGGAGCAACGCCGCGUGAGUGAUGAAGGUCUUCGGAUCGUAAAACUCUGUUAUUAGGGAAGAACAAAUGUGUAAGUAACUAUGCACGUCUUGACGGUACCUAAUCAGAAAGCCACGGCUAACUACGUA